rnacentral:piRNA from 1 species
UGAGCAAGCAGGUUUCAAGCUGGGGG